rnacentral:rRNA from 1 species
AGAGUGAACGCUGGCGGUAGGCCUAACACAUGCAAGUCGAACGGCAGCACAGUAGGAGCUUGCUCUUACGGGUGGCGAGUGGCGGACGGGUGAGGAAUACAUCGGAAUCUACCUUUUGGUGGGGGAUAACGUAGGGAAACUUACGCUAAUACCGCAUACGCCCUUCGGGGGGAAGCCGGGGACCAGCAAUGGCCUGGCGCUGAUAGAUGAGCCGAUGUCGGAUUAGCUAGUUGGUGAGGUAAUGGCUCACCAAGGCGACGAUCCGUAGCUGGUCUGAGAGGAUGAUCAGCCACACUGGAACUGAGACACGGUCCAGACUCCUACGGGAGGCAGCAGUGGGGAAUAUUGGACAAUGGGCGCAAGCCUGAUCCAGCCAUCCCGCGUGGUAGAAGAAGGCCGUUCGGUUAGUAAAGCCCGUUUUGUUAGGGAAAGAAAAGCUAAGUUACGGUUAAUACCCGGUGUUCGUGAACGGUACCCAAAGAAUAAGCGAACCGCUAACUUCGCG